AUGUCACAGGCCAAACCAUAUAAAAUCACAGAGGCCACAACAGGCAGGAGGAGCGGCCUGGCUUUGUCUGAGUCAGGCAGCCCAGCGUGUGGGAUGCCAGGCUGGAUGUGCUGGGCCUGACCAGCCGCCCGCUUUCCUCUUCUCUUGCCUCUGCCUGCCCCCUGGUGGACAGCUGGGGUAAAGCAUGGGAGUGCGCCUUUGGGGUCUCAGUGGGGCUGAAAUACGACUCCUCCCCUAGGACAGCCUGCCUUCCCCAGCCUUGUUCUCCGGCAAAGUCAAUUUCCUGGAGAAUCGAGGCUCUGCCUCAGAUGUUCGGAGCCUCCGCAGGAUGAACACCUCCAUUUCAAUUCCAGGGGCUUUGAUCAACCUGUGCCUCCCUUGAUCCCCAACUUGUGGGCACCUUCCCUUGAGCAGUGCCCCCACGAGGUACACCUUUCCCGGGAAACAAAAAUCAUUCCUUCUUUGGGUCCUGCAAGCUGUAAAGAACCAAUACAGCACUGUGCUACUGAACAUGUUGCCACUAUAGAAGCCCCUUGUGUUUUGAAGAGUACAUCUCUAUAGCCAUUCGUUUAUUCAUCAGAAACCAGCUAGAAGCCAGGCCCUGUGCUGGGCGCUGGAGACAUGGAAGAAACUGGGCUGAGGCUCCCGCCUUGAAGAGCUUGUGGCCCAGGGAAGGGACAGUUCAUCUGUCAUUGAUUGCCACGUGACAGUGUCUAUGAUGCUAAAAAGAUGCCAGUGCUGUGCUGCAGGAGCAAAGGCCGUGGAGGAAGAGGCUUUGGCUUUGUUGCGAGUCCUUGCCAGAGCCAGGCAAAGCCAGUCACCGCUUUGUUCAGAUGACUCAGGUAAAUAAAUGAGGCCGCACAGGCUGUCCUGACACCACACACCUCUAGAAUACCCUGGCUGUGCUGGGAGCUAUUGGUGUCAGCUGAGUAUUUUCAUCCCUGUCCAAGUCACAAUGAUCUGACUGUACCAGCCUGUGUGGAUGUUGCUAAGAGGAGGCAGACAGCACCAUGAGCUCCCUUAGAUGACGAUCGGCAUGAUGUUCCUGCUGUGGCAGCGCUCAGCUCUUGCCAAUGCUCUUCUCUGCUUUGCUCACUUUAAGCCUCCCUUAAUUUUUUUGAAGCCCAGUUUCCACAUUGCUGAUUCACAGAUAUGCAAGACUCAGGCAGGAAAAAAAAAAGUGUCUCCUUUUCCAGACUUCUUAGAGGACUUGGAAAGAAAAUGAAAUGACGUUGAACGAAAUCAAAGUAAAUUGAGUGAUCUGAAACGAUUUGAUGUCAGCAAGAAUUCCCCAUACAGCUCACAGCCCUACCCCGAGCACGCCUCCCUCUUGGGUAUGCUCUCUGCAGGCCCAAACCUUGCAGAAGCCAUUCCAUGUUUCCUGAGCAGGAAAAGACAAACUCAGACCGACAACCUUGGACUUCAAAAGACUGCACACAAGGGGAGGAAGGACUGAGAGUACCAAGGCGUGAGAAUUCAGAAUGCUGCUAUCUCAUUUAUUUUUACCAUUUAGGAAACGUUUUGAUCUGCAUUCCUUUUCCCUUCCCUGAUUUCAAAAAAUAAAAAUAAAAAUGCUUCGGUUCUGAGGAGUAACUCUCCA
ensembl:lncRNA LINC02029 long intergenic non-protein coding RNA 2029